GCAAUCCUCCCAUCACAGCCUCCUGAGUAGCUGGAAACACAGUUUGUGGCACAUUCUAGGCACUCGCCAUCAUCAAAUAAACCUCUGGAGCUGUGAUAUUACAAACGUGGAAAGAUGAUGUACACUCAACAAGUUUCAAUGAAGCAAAGAGACAAGGAGCAAUCCAACGUGUAAUAAAAAAGGCAGCCUGGAUUGUUGUUGCUGUUUUUGAAAUUUAAGCUGGUUUUCAAUUAAAUUCAGUAAAUGGUCCAGGACUGUAAAUGUUGAACAUUUUUUACUGUGUAAUUUAAAUUUUAGUCUUAUUGUUUUUGUUUUUUUUUUUGAUGGUUUACAUUUUCCCCAUGGAAAGCAGCUAUGUCAUGUCGGCACGAUUCAUGAUGGUAACAUCUGGGGGUAUGGGCUUAUUUUGGUUUGUGUUAUGUUCAGAAAGCGGGAUGCCAAAAAUAAAGAGAGGUUUGUGAUGUCUAGUGUGUCUUCCUUUAACAAAUCAAAGGCUCUUAUUUAAUCCACUUAAUGGGACACUGCAGAAAUUUAAAAAAUGGAAGUUCCAUCCACAGAAGGCAGUCCUAUGAUGUAAAAAGCUUAGUAGGGGGAUUAAUAGAGUAAUCAUAUAAUUUAGGAACUAAA